rnacentral:rRNA from 1 species
AUGAACGCUGGCGGCGUGCCUAAUACAUGCAAGUCGAGCGAACGGACGAGAAGCUUGCUUUUCUGAUGUUAGCGGCGGACGGGUGAGUAACACGUGGAUAACCUACCUAUAAGACUGGGAUAACUUCGGGAAACCGGAGCUAAUACCGGAUAAUAUUUUGAACCGCAUGGUUCAAAAGUGAAAGACGGUCUUGCUGUCACUUAUAGUUGAUCCGCGCUGCAUUAGCUAGUUGGUAAGGUAACGGCUUACCAAGGCAAAGAUGCAUAGCCGACCUGAGAGGGUGAUCGGCCACACUGGAACUGAGACACGGUCCAGACUCCUACGGGAGGCAGCAGUAGGGAAUCUUCCGCAAUGGGCGAAAGCCUGACGGAGCAACGCCGCGUGAGUGAUGAAGGUCUUCGGAUCGUAAAACUCUGUUAUUAGGGAAGAACAUAUGUGUAAGUAACUGUGCACAUCUUGACGGUACCUAAUCAGAAAGCCACGGCUAACUACGUG